GAUGAACGCUGGCGGCGUGCCUAAUACAUGCAAGUCGAGCGAACAGACGAGGAGCUUGCUCCUCUGACGUUAGCGGCGGACGGGUGAGUAACACGUGGAUAACCUACCUAUAAGACUGGGAUAACUUCGGGAAACCGGAGCUAAUACCGGAUAAUAUAUUGAACCGCAUGGUUCAAUAGUGAAAGACGGUUUUGCCGUCACUUAUAGAUGGAUCCGCGCCGCAUUAGCUAGUUGGUAAGGUAACGGCUUACCAAGGCAACGAUGCGUAGCCGACCUGAGAGGGUGAUCGGCCACACUGGAACUGAGACACGGUCCAGACUCCUACGGGAGGCAGCAGUAGGGAAUCUUCCGCAAUGGGCGAAAGCUUGACGGAGCAACGCCGCGUGAGUGAUGAAGGUCUUCGGAUCGUAAAACUCUGUUAUUAGGGAAGAACAAAUGUGUAAGUAACUAUGCACGUCUUGACGGUACCUAAUCAGAAAGCCACGGCUAACUACGUG
rnacentral:rRNA from 1 species